AGAUCAUGACCUGAACCGAAGUCAGACGCUUAGCCGACGGAGCCACCCAGCUAUUAUUUUCCUGUCAUCACUCUUUGCCAGAGAGAUCAAAUGAAAACCCGGCCCGCAUGGCCUGCUGAGUACGGACCACCGUGGCUGCCGGGUAUCCUCCCCUAGGUCCUUCUGGGGAACCACCCCAAUCUCCUCUAUCAGACCACAGCCUCGGGGGGACGAGACGCCACCAUCUGCUCCAGGGGUGGGCAAAUGACCCGAACCGCAGGCGAGUUACAAUUCCCUGGCCACGGCAAUUGGCUCAGUAGGAGGCGUUUGUCGGGACUUAUGACCCUCAGAACACAAACUGGAAAGCAAACUGGAGCCACUGCAACUAUUCUGUACCAAAAUAGGAAAAUGUUAUCUAUAGAUGGAGGCAACAUGGAGAAAAUCAGGCCAAGUGGGGGUGGGGGGAGGGGGAGGGGGGAGAUGGUGGCUCAUUGUUAUGGGAGCCAAUUCAAUCUCUUCUCUCGCUGACACCACUUUGGGUUGUUUUGUUAUCUUUACUACGCAACCCAAAGAGCCCUUCCCGAUCAUGAUAAUCGUUACAACAAAGUAAGAGCCUGGACAGACGGCCACUCUUUCCCAAGCACUGGGUGCAGGCCCAACACGGAGCCACCCUCGCCCCGCACUCACCCCUCCACGUGCAGCCAUAUGCCAUACUGCUCGCAGAGUUCUUUCAAACGCCCAAUCUUAUCUGUGUGCCCUACUGCCGCGGUUCCUAGGAUAAAACACACAAAAAAACGAUACUGAAAGGAAUACUUUGAGCCCUUACGGCAGGAUAAAAGCUUAUAAAUACGUUAUCUAAGAAGGAAGUAACACUGUAUCUGUUUUAUUGAGAUUGCAUAUGUGAGCUGGCUUAAAACCAACUGUUACAAGUUGAUCUUUCAAGGUCUGAAGCGUGCAUGGUCUCCAUUUUAUGUAUCUAUAAAAUCAGGCUUGUUAAUUUUGUUACUUAAAAUCUCCAUAUACUUGUUUUCCAUCCACUUAAUGUUGUUUCUGGGGAAACAUAUUAAAGUCUCUCACCAAGA